rnacentral:rRNA from 1 species
GAUGAACGCUGGCGGCGUGCCUAAUACAUGCAAGUCGAGCGAACGGACGAGAAGCUUGCUUCUCUGAUGUUAGCGGCGGACGGGUGAGUAACACGUGGAUAACCUACCUAUAAGACUGGGAUAACUUCGGGAAACCGUAGCUAAUACCGGAUAAUAUUUUGAACCGCAUGGUUCAAAAGUGAAAGACGGUCUUGCUGUCACUUAUAGAUGGAUCCGCGCUGCAUUAGCUAGUUGGUAAGGUAACGGCUUACCAAGGCAACGAUGCAUAGCCGACCUGAGAGGGUGAUCGGCCACACUGGAACUGAGACACGGUCCAGACUCCUACGGGAGGCAGCAGUAGGGAAUCUUCCGCAAUGGGCGAAAGCCUGACGGAGCAACGCCGCGUGAGUGAUGAAGGUCUUCGGAUCGUAAAACUCUGUUAUUAGGGAGAACAUAUGUGUAAGUAACUGUGCACAUCUUGACGGUACCUAAUCAGAAAGCCACGGCUAACUACGUG